rnacentral:tRNA from 1 species
AGGGUUGUGGCUCAGUGGUACAGCACUCACCUACCAUGUGUGAGGCACUGAGUUCAAUCCUCAGCACUGCAU